UGGGGAAUUUUGGACAAUGGGGGCAACCCUGAUCCAGCCAUGCCGCGUGAGUGAAGAAGGCCUUCGGGUUGUAAAGCUCUUUCGGCGGGGACGAAACGGUCCGUGACAACACCACGGACUAAUGACAGUACUCGCAGAAGAAGCACCGGCUAACUACGUGCCAGCAGCCGCGGUAAUACGUAGGGUGCAGGCGUUAAUCGGAAUUACUGGGCGUAAAGCGUGCGCAGGCGGCUCCUUAAGUCAGAUGUGAAAUCCCCGGGCUUAACCUGGGAACUGCGUUUGAAACUGAGGGGCUAGAGUGUGGAAGAGGGGGGUGGAAUUCCAGGUGUAGCAGUGAAAUGCGUAGAGAUGUGGAGGAACACCGAUGGCGAAGGCAGCCCCCUGGGCCAACACUGACGCUCAGGCACGAAAGCGUGGGGAGCAAACAGGAUUAGAUACCCGCGUAGUCCCUGAGCGGGCUGGCAAGGCGCAU
rnacentral:rRNA from 1 species